GACGAACGCUGGCGGCGUGCUUAACACAUGCAAGUCGAGCGGUAAGGCCCUUUCGGGGGGUACACGAGCGGCGAACGGGUGAGUAACACGUGGGUGACCUGCCCUCAGCUCUGGGAUAAGCCUGGGAAACCGGGUCUAAUACCGGAUAUGACUCCAUGACGCAUGUUGUGGGGUGGAAAGCCUUGUGCGGCUGAGGAUGGGCCCGCGGCCUAUCAGCUUGUUGGUGGGGUGAUGGCCUACCAAGGCGACGACGGGUAGCCGGCCUGAGAGGGCGACCGGCCACACUGGGACUGAGACACGGCCCAGACUCCUACGGGAGGCAGCAGUGGGGAAUCUUGCGCAAUGGGCGAAAGCCUGACGCAGCGACGCCGCGUGAGGGAUGAC
rnacentral:rRNA from 1 species